rnacentral:rRNA from 1 species
CCUACGGGGUGCAGCAGUGGGGAAUAUUGGGCAAUGGGCGAAAGCCUGACCCAGCAACGCCGCGUGAAUGAAGAAGGCUUUCGGGUUGUAAACUUCUUUUGACAGGGAAGAGCAGCAGACGAUAUCUCUCGAAUACGCCACGGCUAACCACGUGCCAGCAGCCGCGGUAAUACGUAGGUGGCAAGCGUUGUCCGGAUUUACUGGGUGUAAAGGGCGUGUAGCCGGGCUGACAAGGCAGAUGUGAAAUCCGGGGGCUCAACCCCCGAACUGCAUUUGAAACUGUUGGUCUUGAGUAUCGGAGAGGCAGGCGGAAUUCCUAGUGUAGCGGUGAAAUGCUUAGAGAUCAUACAGAACACCGAUGGCGAAGGCAGCUUACCAGGCUACUUCUGACGUUGAGGCACGAAAGCGUGGGGAGCAAACAGGAUUAGAUACCCGUGUAGUC